UACGUUAUCUAGCGAGGUUAAGUCAGAAAAGACGGAGCCGGAGCGAAAGCGAGUCUUAAUAGGGCGAAAAGUUAGGUGACGUAGACCCGAAACCAAGUGACCUACCCAUGACCAGGCUGAAGGUGUGGUAAAACGCACUGGAGGGCCGAACCCACGUAAGUUAAAAAUUGCGGGGAUGAGUUGUGGGUAGCGGUGAAAUUCCAAACGAACUUGGAGAUAGCUGGUUCUCUCCGAAAUAGCUUUAGGGCUAGCCUCGUGGAGAGGAUAAUGGAGGUAGAGCUCUGUUUGGACUAGGGGCCCGUCAGGGGUUACUGAAUCCAGAUAAACUACGAAUUCCAGAUAUCCAUACACGGGAGUCAGACUGCGAGUGAUAAGAUCCGUAGUCGAAAGGGAAACAGCCCAGAUCACCAGUUAAGGUCCCCAAAUCUAUGCUAAGUGGAAAAGGAUGUGGAGUUGCGUAGACAACUAGGACGUUGGCUCAGAAGCAGCCAUCAUUCAAAGAGUGCGUAAUAGCUCACUAGUCGAGUGGCGCUGCGCCGAAAAUUUACCGGGGCUAAGCAUAGUACCGAAACUGUGGAUGUGUUUUAAAGAGCACGUGGUAGGAGAGCGUUCUAAG
rnacentral:rRNA from 1 species